UUCUAUUUCCCCUCUUGUUGAUUUCCGUUCUGACCGGUUCUAUUUCCCCUCCUCUUGAUUUCAGAUUUCAGAUAUACUGACGCCACCUUCACCUUCACUUAUUCCAAAGGCUCCAGAAGGGUGUCCUUCUCUGUGCACGUCUCUGACGACUACCCAGACAACACAUACGUGUCAAAACUCUGAGAACGAGGGAUGAAGUUCUAGUUACCAGGACCCGAUCCCCGUCAUCUUCCACAGAAU